GUAGAUGAAACCUACUAAACUUGUAGAUGUUUGUUUGAGAAUUUUUCGGACGCGGGUUCGAUUCCCGCCAUCUCCACCA
rnacentral:tRNA from 1 species